CGAGAAAGCCCGCAAGGGUGAGUAAAGCGGCGCACGGGUGCGUAACACGUGGGUAAUCUGCCCUAGAGUCCGGAAUAACUCGCCGAAAGGCGUGCUAAUGCCGGAUGAGACCACGGGAGCCUCGGCUCCUGCGGGAAAAGGUGGCCUCUGUACACAAGCUAUCGCUCUAGGAUGAGCCCGCGGCCCAUCAGCUCGUUGGCGGGGUAAUGGCCCACCAAGGCUACGACGGGUAGCUGGUCUGAGAGGACGACCAGCCACACUGGAACUGAGACACGGUCCAGACUCCUACGGGAGGCAGCAGUGGGGAAUCUUGCGCAAUGGGCGAAAGCCUGACGCAGCAACGCCGCGUGUGUGAUGAAGGUCUUCGGAUCGUAAAGCACUGUCGCGAGGGACG
rnacentral:rRNA from 1 species